rnacentral:lncRNA from 1 species
UGGGUUUGAUGUAAUUUGAUUUAUAUGAAUUCUGCUGUGUGGUCUCUGUUUUAAUUACUGCAUCUACUUUUUUUUUUUUUUUUCCCCUUACAGAUAAUUUUCAAGAUCAGAUGAAGCGGGAACUGGCAUACAGAGAAGAAAUGGUACAGCAGCUACAAAUUAUUCCCUAUGCAGCAAGCUUGAUCAGGAAAGAAAAGCUCGGUGCACACCUCAGCAAAAGCUAAAGGUGUACAGGAUCUUUUGCAGCUGUUACCUUGUAAGUUAUAACCUACUACUCAGAAACUUAACUUGUAUAAAGACUGAAAAAAAGGAACGUCAUUGGGGAUUUAAUGAACAAAUAACUGGGAACGUCAUUGGGGAUUUAAAGAAUAAAUAACUGGGUUCCUCCGAACCCAAGGAUAAGUGACCUCAAAGCAUCAUGGACAACCAUGUAAAAUAGAAUGUAGCAGCCAUUUAUUAGUAAAAACAAAACAAAACAAAAAAAAAAAAUCAAAAAAUGCCUGUCCUGGAUCUUUUUUGGUGGUACCAAAGUUUAAGUCUUUGUGUUUUUAGAAGGACUACUGAUAGAGAAAAUGCUUUCGAUGAAUAGUACAGAUAAGCUGUGGAAGGAACUGCUGAUCCUUUCAAUGCCACAAACACUGACAACAUCUGCCCGUUCAUCUUUUGCUUUUGAAUAGUGAUUGUUUUAUGAAAAGAAAUGUGUGUCUUACCAGAUGGGCCAGAACCACAUCUGGAUGGACGGAUGGAUGGAUAGAGCAGCGUUAGCCAUACACAGUGCUUUUUAAAAGCAGACUGGAAAUUCUCACACCCCUCUCCCUUGGCCCUCUCCUUCUCUGGUAUUUUGCCUGCUGUAUGAAUUACGAUUGUACUCCUCUGGAAAUAUUUUACAAUUUAAUAUUGAGUGUAAUUAAGAAUAUAAUCACUGUUAUCAAAAAAGGUAUUUAACUCUGUUGUAGUUUCUUUAUCAUUCAUGUGGAUAAAAAGUCUAUAAUAAAAAAAAGAAAAC